CCUACGGGAGGCAGCAGUGGGGAAUAUUGGACAAUGGGCGAAAGCCUGAUCCAGCAAUGCCGCGUGAGUGAUGAAGGCCCUCGGGUCGUAAAGCUCUUUUACCCGGGAUGAUAAUGACAGUACCGGGAGAAUAAGCCCCGGCUAACUCCGUGCCAGCAGCCGCGGUAAU
rnacentral:rRNA from 1 species